UUUCUGUCACCUCCGUACCUGCCGCUCAUGUUUGACGCACCGUGCUUGUUGUCAUCCUUGGCUCUGCUCUCUCGAAGUGUCGCCACUGCGACUCUUCCUCCUCUUGCUACUUCACGCGCCACGCGCUCCUUUACUCUCCGUCACUGAGUUCCAUCCCUGGAGCGAACGUGGCAAAAGGCAUGGGUGCGCAUGGUUGAUGAGUGCACCCGAGAGCGCGGAGUGCGUGUUGCCGCUACGUAGGAGCCGUCGCAGUCGUGGAAUGGGGAAGGGGCACUAGAGGUGGCAUCGGGUGUGUAUGCAUGUGUGUGGGUGUGUCUGUGCUUGCAUCAUGGCUUUCUCGUUUCGCUUCUCUCCUGUGCCUUGUUCUCUCUGCUGCUCGCAUCGUCGGUUUGCUUUCAAGCAUCGCAGUGGACACGGGUCUCGGAAAAAAAGGAAAAGGAGCAAGGGAGGGGGUGUGGAGGCAGGUAGCUCACGCACCUAAAUUGCUGAAGAGGCACGGUGCACGCAAUGUCAAGCCGACCCGUUUCUCUUGUGGUCUGUCGCCUCCUUUCCCUUCCCCUCCCCCCGCGCUCUCUCUCUCCCUCCGUGCACAGCCACCCGAGACCUCAUCUCUUUUUUGUUGUUGUUCAGAUACGCGGUUGCACCUACUAUGUGUCCGACGCCAGGCAACGCCAACGGAAAUCAAAUGAAUGGCCUCGCAAUGAAUCCACCAAACUGGGAUAGCGCAGGUCAACAUGCAGCCAUGGAUGCCCUUCAAAGCCACCCCUCUUCUCACGUCGUUGGCGCGCAGAAGAAUGACGUGGUUUUCAGUGCUGCACUUCCACCAAACGCCAACUCGCGUAUGCGCUUCCCCCACAAGUGUACUCAGGUACGUGGAAGCUUGGGUGGGCUUGCUCGUGUCCGUCGUCGCGUGUCGGCCCGCCUACUUCUCCCGCACGUCACUGAUUUUGUUCUUCUCCCUACUUCCUCUCUGUGGGCGGUGCAAAG
rnacentral:misc_RNA from 1 species